GGGACUGAGAGUGGAGCAUAAUGACCACCAAAAGGAGGUUCCUGACCCGCGGCUAUAACUUCUUCAUGAUGUUUCUGUAAAUAACGAAGCAUUGCUUUCUCCAAUGCGCUCAUUUUCUUUGGCUUAUCCUGAGGGCCAACUAUGAUUUUCCCCUUGCCGAAAGAGGAACGACGAUCGCCCCCACCAUUGCCACUUCCUCCAGUAGCAGAAGCCAUCUAUGUACAAAUAUUCUUACCUUAGCACUGCAGAACUUGUUGAACUUAAAGACCGUGAUCAUCUCGUGAG
rnacentral:lncRNA from 1 species